UACGUAGGGUGCGAGCGUUAAUCGGAAUUACUGGGCGUAAAGCGUGCGCAGGCGGCUUUGUAAGACAGGCGUGAAAUCCCCGGGCUCAACCUGGGAAUUGCGAUGGAGACUGCAAGGCUUGAAUCUGGCAGAGGGGGAUGGAAUUCCGCGUGUAGCAGUGAAAUGCGUAGAUAUGCGGAGGAACACCAAUGGCGAAGGCAAUCCCCUGGGCCUGUACUGACGCUCAUGCACGAAAGCGUGGGGAGCAAACAGG
rnacentral:rRNA from 1 species